rnacentral:rRNA from 1 species
CCUACGGUGGGCAGCAGUGAGGAAUAUUGGUCAAUGGGCGGAAGCCUGAACCAGCCAAGUAGCGUGCAGGAUGACGGCCCUACGGGUUGUAAACUUCUUUUAUAAAGGAAUAAAGUGAGGCACGUGUGCCUUUUUGUAUGUAUUUUAUGAAUAAGGAUCGGCUAACUCCGUGCCAGCAGCCGCGGUAAUACGGAGGAUCCGAGCGUUAUCCGGAUUUAUUGGGUUUAAAGGGAGCGUAGAUGGGUUGUUAAGUCAGUUGUGAAAGUUUGCGGCUCAACCGUAAAAUUGCAAUUGAUACUGGCAGCCUUGAGUACAGUUGAGGUAGGCGGAAUUCGUGGUGUAGCGGUGAAAUGCUUAGAUAUCACGAAGAACUCCGAUUGCGAAGGCAGCCUACUAAACUGCCACUGACAUUGAUGCUCGAAAGUGUGGGUAUCAAACGGGAUUAGAUACCCGAGUAGUC